UCACGUGCCGUCCGUUAAUGAGCUUUCGUAGCAUGGAAGGCAAGACCUUGCAAACAUUGUCAGACGGAGAGGGUAUAAGCUAAUUAAAGAACUUCUAGAAUCCAAUAUGGAGAUUAGUUCAUCUGAAAAUCGGAAUGAUACUGUUCUACAUGAAAUUGAAUCAACAUUGAAUGAGCUGGCUGAAGGUGUGCCACUUUUGGAAGGUCUGGAUGAAGAUGUAAAUGGU